AGUGAACGCUGGCGGUAGGCCUAACACAUGCAAGUCGAACGGCAGCACAGUAAGAGCUUGCUCUUACGGGUGGCGAGUGGCGGACGGGUGAGGAAUACAUCGGAAUCUACUUUUUCGUGGGGGAUAACGUAGGGAAACUUACGCUAAUACCGCAUACGACCUACGGGUGAAAGCAGGGGAUCUUCGGACCUUGCGCGAUUGAAUGAGCCGAUGUCGGAUUAGCUAGUUGGCGGGGUAAAGGCCCACCAAGGCGACGAUCCGUAGCUGGUCUGAGAGGAGGAUUAGACACACGGGAAGUGAGAAACGGUCCAGACUCCUAGGGGAGGCAGCAGUGGGGAAUAUUGGACAAUGGGGGAAAGCCUGAUCCAGCCAUACCGCGUGGGUGAAGAAGGCCUUCGGGUUGUAAAGCCCUUUUGUUGGGAAAGAAAAGCAGCAGGUUAAUACCCCGCUGUUCUGACGGUACCCAAAGAAUAAGCACCGGCUAACUUCGUG
rnacentral:rRNA from 1 species